CCUACGGGGCGCACCAGUGGGGAAUAUUGCACAAUGGGCGCAAGCCUGAUGCAGCCAUGCCGCGUGUAAGAAGAAGGCCUUCGGGUUGUAAAGUACUUUCAGCGGGGAGGAAGGUGUUGUGGUUAAUAACCACAGCAAUUGACGUUACCCGCAGAAGAAGCACCGGUUAACUCCGUGCCAGCAGCCGCGGUAAUACGGAGGGUGCAAGCGUUAAUCGGAAUUACUGGGCGUAAAGCGCACGCAGGCGGUUUGUUAAGUCAGAUGUGAAAUCCCCGGGCUCAACCUGGGAACUGCAUUUGAAACUGGCAAGCUAGAGUCUCGUAGAGGGGGGUAGAAUUCCAGGUGUAGCGGUGAAAUGCGUAGAGAUCUGGAGGAAUACCGGUGGCGAAGGCGGCCCCCUGGACGAAGACCGACGCUCAGGUGCGAAAGCGUGGGGAGCAAACAGGAUUAGAUACCCUCGUAGUC
rnacentral:rRNA from 1 species